rnacentral:rRNA from 1 species
UAUAAUGGGUCAACGACUUACAUUCAGUAGCGAGCUUAACCGAGUAGGGGAGGCGUAGGGAAACCGAGUCUUAAUAGGGCGACUAGUUGCUGGGUGUAGACCCGAAACCGAGUGAUCUAUCCAUGGCCAGGAUGAAGGUGCGGUAAAACGCAUUGGAGGUCCGAACCCACGCAUGUUGCAAAAUGUGGGGAUGAGCUGUGGAUAGGGGUGAAAGGCUAAACAAACUCGGAGAUAGCUGGUUCUCCCCGAAAACUAUUUAGGUAGUGCCUCGAGUAUGAGACUGAUGGGGGUAAAGCACUGUUAUGGCUAGGGGGUUAUUGCAACUUACCAACCCAUGGCAAACUAAGAAUACCAUCAAGUUGCUCCUCGGGAGACAGACAUCGGGUGCUAACGUCCGGUGUCAAGAGGGAAACAACCCAGACCGCCAGCUAAGGUCCCAAAUGAUAGAUUAAGUGGUAAACGAAGUGGGAAGGCACAGACAGCCAGGAUGUUGGCUUAGAAGCAGCCAUCAUUUAAAGAAAGCGUAAUAGCUCACUGGUCGAGUCUUCCUGCGCGGAAGAUGUAACGGGGCUCAAAUCUAUAACCGAAGCUGCGGAUAUACUUUUGUAUAUGGUAGGGGAGCGUUCUGUAAGCCUGUGAAGGUGACUUGUAAAGGUUGCUGGAGGUAUCAGAAGUGCGAAUGUUGACAUGAGUAGCGAUAAAGCGGGUGAAAAGCCCGCUCGCCGAAAGCCCAAGGUUUCCUACGCAACGUUCAUCGGCGUAGGGUGAGUCGGCCCCUAAGGCGAGGCAGAAAUGCGUAGUCGAUGGGAAACAGGUUAAUAUUCCUGUACUUUGAUUCAAUGCGAUGUGGGGACGGAGAAGGUUAGGUUAGCAAACUGUUGGAAUAGUUUGUUUAAGCCAGUAGGUGGAAAGAGUAGGCAAAUCCGCUCUUUCUUAACACCGAGACGUGAUGACGAGUGUCUACGGACAUGAAGUGACCAAUACCACGCUUCCAGGAAAAGCCACUAAGCUUCAGUUGAAUCAGAACCGUACCGCAAACCGACACAGGUGGGCAGGAUGAGAAUUCUAAGGCGCUUGAGAGAACUCGGGAGAAGGAACUCGGCAAAUUGAUACCGUAACUUCGGGAGAAGGUAUGCCCUCUAAUGUUAAGGACUUGCUCCGUAAGCAUCUGAGGGUCGCAGAGAAUCGGUGGCUGCGACUGUUUAUUAAAAACACAGCACUCUGCUAACACGAAAGUGGACGUAUAGGGUGUGACGCCUGCCCGGUGCUGGAAGGUUAAUUGAAGAUGUGCAAGCAUCGGAUCGAAGCCCCAGUAAACGGCGGCCGUAACUAUAACGGUCCUAAGGUAGCGAAAUUCCUUGUCGGGUAAGUUCCGACCCGCACGAAUGGCGUAACGAUGGCCACACUGUCUCCUCCCGAGACUCAGCGAAGUUGAAAUGGUUGUGAAGAUGCAAUCUCCCCGCUGCUAGACGGAAAGACCCCGUGAACCUUUACUGUAGCUUUGCAUUGGACUUUGAAGUCACUUGUGUAGGAUAGGUGGGAGGCUUUGAAGCAGAGACGCCAGUCUCUGUGGAGCCGUCCUUGAAAUACCACCCUGGUGACUUUGAGGUUCUAACCCAGACCCGUUAUCCGGGUCGGGGACCGUGCAUGGUAGGCAGUUUGACUGGGGCGGUCUCCUCCCAAAGAGUAACGGAGGAGUUCGAAGGUUACCUAGGUCCGGUCGGAAAUCGGACUGAUAGUGCAAUGGCAAAAGGUAGCUUAACUGCGAGACCGACAAGUCGAGCAGGUGCGAAAGCAGGACAUAGUGAUCCGGUGGUUCUGAAUGGAAGGGCCAUCGCUCAACGGAUAAAAGGUACUCCGGGGAUAACAGGCUGAUUCCGCCCAAGAGUCCAUAUCGACGGCGGAGUUUGGCACCUCGAUGUCGGCUCAUCACAUCCUGGGGCUGUAGUCGGUCCCAAGGGUAUGGCUGUUCGCCAUUUAAAGUGGUACGUGAGCUGGGUUUAAAACGUCGUGAGACAGUUUGGUCCCUAUCUGCAGUGGGCGUUGGAAGUUUGACGGGGGCUGCUCCUAGUACGAGAGGACCGGAGUGGACGAACCUCUGGUGUACCGGUUGUUUCGCCAGAAGCAUAGCCGGGUAGCUAAGUUCGGAAGAGAUAAGCGCUGAAAGCAUCUAAGCGCGAAACUCGCCCAAAGAUGAGACUUCCCUUGUGGUUUAACCAUACUAAAGAGUCGUUCGAGACCAGGACGUUGAUAGGUUGGGUGUGGAAGAGUGG